GAGUGGUACAUGUGUACCGUGAAGGUAAUCGUGCUGCCGAUGAAAUGGCUGCGUUGUCGACUGAACAACCGUUUAGAAGGAAGGUGUAUUAUGAGCCACCUGCCGGGGUAUUGCAUCUGUUAGAGCAGGAUGAGCAAGUAGCAGCUUGGCAACGAGUUGCAAUAGUGUAGCUACACUGCAUGUUUCUUUUCUUAUAAAAAAAAAUUGUAAAAUGGGUAAUGGGAGAAGCAAUGGGAAAGUAUUUAAA
rnacentral:lncRNA from 1 species